UUCCAUUCCCACCCCAGUCCCACUCAAACCUGACUACAGUAUACCUGUUCUAGUGCCGAACCAUUCCAUUCCCACCCCAGUCCCACUCAAACCUGACUACAGUAUGUAUACCUGUUCUAGUGCCGUUGCCACACACAACUAUUCUUAUUCCAGUGCCGUAUACAACCAUUCUAUUCCCACCCCAGUCCCACUCAAACCUCCCUUUGCUUAACCAGGUACCACACAAAAAGCCCUUAACCCCUCCUGCCCACCUCAACGUCCAACAGCAAGAUGUUGCAGGUCAACUAGGAGGGUCAAGUGAACUUGCAGCCACGGUCUUAAAGCCGUGACCUACUGUAGAGAGAGUGCACUUAUUUACAGGCAGACCCCAGGGUCUGACCCUAGGAGAGCCGCUCUAAAGGGUCCAAGGAUUUCUUAAGCACAAUUUACGGGUUUCUGACCAACCAGAAAUUAGAGCUGUGAAUGUAAUAGGAAACAGGAACAAUGGAGAGAAGGAAAGAAGAAAAGGGAGGCGAGAGCUGUUUACAAGAAUGAACUUGUUCUUGUCUGCCAAAAUAAUGUGAAAUUGUCCUUUACACUUUCCCACUGGAGAGUUCCUUUGUCGAGACGAGGGACGGAUAGAGACUUUCAACCUCAGUGUGUGGUCCAAAGGGUGACAGUCGGAGUCUUAAACACAACCAGCAACUGCUUGGUGAAGGAACCAUGGAGAGAAUAACUCGUUAGGUCUACGUUUUGGUAUCAUUUCACCAUUCCACGUGAGAGGCUUGAGUAAGGUGUACAAAGUAAUAAUAGCUUAUCAAGCAGUCCUGGUAACAAACUAGCACCCUAUUCAUGAAUACGGUUUCAUAUAUGACUGUGCCUCAUUGCUACAAAUCAGUCAACAAAAGGGAUGGAUGGUGAGGAAAGAGCUGCUCUUCCUCGCAUCCAUCCAUCUUAACCUGCUUUUGUCCACCAGUUGCUUCUAGUUUGUAUUUUGUUCAUUCUCUCCACAGUGCUGAAACAGCGUUGCUCCUGGUCAACUUUAGCCACCCACCACCACCUCUGGAUCUGACCCACCAGUGUUUUAACUGGGCCCACACUGGGACAAAAAGUAAUUCACAAACUUCAGUGCUGUGACUGUUGUAUUUAUAACUGUUAACCAUUUUUACCGAUGGAGAGAAAAAGAAGAAAAAAAUACCGGUUUUGCUUUUCUGUUAAUUCCUGAAACCUUCAGAAUAAACCACGUUAAAUCAUU
ensembl:lncRNA